GGCCUGCUGGCCCAAUGGCAAGGCGCUUGACUACGAUUCUUUCGAAAUCAAGAGAUUGCAGGUUCGAUCCCUGCGUAGGUCA